UACGUAGGGUGCAAGCGUUGUCCGGAAUUAUUGGGCGUAAAGAGCUCGUAGGCGGUUUGUCGCGUCGAAUGUGAAAACCCGGGGCUCAACCCCGGGCCUGCAUUCGAUACGGGCAGACUAGAGUUCGGUAGGGGAGUCUGGAAUUCCUGGUGUAGCGGUGAAAUGCGCAGAUAUCAGGAGGAACACCGGUGGCGAAGGCGGGACUCUGGGCCGAUACUGACGCUGUAGAGCGAAAGCGUGGGGAGCGAACAGG
rnacentral:rRNA from 1 species